UACGUAGGGCGCAAGCGUUGUCCGGAAUUAUUGGGCGUAGAGAGCUCGUAGGUGGCGUGUCGCGUCUGCCGUGAAAGCCCAUGGCUUAACUGUGGGUCUGCGGUGGAUACGGGCAGGCUGGAGGCUGGUAGGGGCAAGCGGAAUUCCUGGUGUAGCGGUGAGAUGCGCAGAUAUCAGGAGGAACACCGGUGGCGAAGGCGGCUUGCUGGGCCAGUUCUGACGCUGAGGAGCGAAAGCGUGGGGAGCGAACAGG
rnacentral:rRNA from 1 species